rnacentral:rRNA from 1 species
CAGUCGUACCGGCGGAUAAUCAGCCUUUCGAGUGCGAUUCUGUGGAGUGUGAGGAGCUAAACACCUUCAUGCCUGCACUAUUCGUGCUCUUGGGUGUACUUGCUCGUAAGUACGACUGACUUCAAUCGUUUCCC